rnacentral:rRNA from 1 species
UCAAACUUGAGAGUUUGAUCCUGGCUCAGAACGAACGCUGGCGGCAGGCCUAAUACAUGCAAGUCGAACGCCCCGCAAGGGGAGUGGCGCACGGGUGAGUAACGCGUGGGAAUGUGCCCUUAGGUGCGGAACAACGUUUGGAAACGAACGCUAAUACCGCAUAAUAUCUCCGGAUCAAAGAUUUAUCGCCUAGGGAUCAGCCCGCGUUGGAUUAGCUAGUUGGUGGGGUAACGGCCUACCAAGGCGACGAUCCAUAGCUGGUCUGAGAGGAUGAUCAGCCACACUGGGACUGAGACACGGCCCAGACUCCUACGGGAGGCAGCAGUAAGGAAUAUUGGACAAUGGGGGAAACCCUGAUCCAGCCAUGCCGCGUGAGUGAUGAAGGCCUUCGGGUUGUAAAGCUCUUUUAGGUGUGAAAAUGAUGAUGGUAGCACCAGAAAAAGCUCCGGCUAACUUCGUGCCAGCAGCCGCGGUAAUACGAAGGGAGCGAGCGUUGUUCGGAAUCACUGGGCGUAAAGCGUGCGUAGGCGGUUUUGUAAGACAGAAGUGAAAUCCUGGAGCUUAACUCCAGAAUUGCUUUUGUGACUGCAAAGCUUGAAUCCAGGAGAGGUUGGGGGAAUUCCGAGUGUAGAGGUGAAAUUCGCAGAUAUUCGGAGGAACACCAGUGGCGUAGGCGCCCAACUGGACUGGUAUUGACGCUGAGGCACGAAAGCGUGGGGAUCAAACAGGAUUAGAUACCCUGGUAGUCCACGCCGUAAACGAUGUGUGCUAGCUGUCGGGAGUCUUAGGCUUUCGGCGGCGCAGCUAACGCACUAAGCACACCGCCUGGGAAGUACGGCCGCAAGGUUAAAACUCAAAGGAAUUGACGGGGACCCGCACAAGCGGUGGAGCAUGUUGUUUAAUUCGAAGCAACGCGAAGAACCUUACCUACUCUUGUAUCCUCCUUUUGACUUUCAGAGAUGAUUGUCUUCGGUUCGGCCGGGGGAGUGACAGGUGCUGCAUGGCUGUCGUCAGCUCGUGUCGUGAGAUGUUGGGUUAAGUCCCGCAACGAGCGCAACCCUCAUCGUAUGUUGCCAUCAGGUAAUGCUGGGCACUCGUGCGAGACCGCCGGUGAUAAGCCGGAGGAAGGUGGGGACGACGUCAAGUCAUCAUGGCCCUUACGAGUAGGGCUACAAACGUGCUACAAUGGUGGUGACAGUGAGCAGCCACUCCGCAAGGAGGCGCUAAUCUCUAAAAGCCAUCUCAGUUCAGAUUGUCCUCUGCAACUCGAGGGCAUGAAGUUGGAAUCGCUAGUAAUCGUGGAUCAGCAUGCCACGGUGAAUACGUUCCCGGGUCUUGUACACACCGCCCGUCACGUCAUGGGAGUUGGUUCUACCUGAAGGCGGUACGCUAACCUAUGGAGGCAGCCGACCACGGUAGGGUCAGUGACUGGGACGAAGUCGUAACAAGGUAGCCGUAGGGGAACCUGCGGCUGGAUCACCUCCUUUCU